GAGGUUGUAGCUCAGUGGUAAAGCAUGUGUCUGACAUGCACAAGGCCUUGAGUUAAUCCCCAAUAACCCCC
rnacentral:tRNA from 1 species